CUCGGGGUGGCCGAACGGGAACUUCGGGUCGAGGUCCCAGACCUCGAGGUGGGUGUCGAUCAGGAGUCGGUCCGGCUCCGACCUCGGGCCC
rnacentral:tRNA from 1 species